AUUGAACGCUGGCGGCAUGCCUUACACAUGCAAGUCGAACGGUAACGCGGGGCAACCUGGCGACGAGUGGCGAACGGGUGAGUAAUGCAUCGGAACGUGCCCAGUAGUGGGGGAUAGCCCGGCGAAAGCCGGAUUAAUACCGCAUACGACCUACGGGUGAAAGCCGGGGAUCUUCGGACCUGGCGCUAGUAGAUGAGCCCGCGUGAGAUUAGCUUGUUGGUGGGGUAAUGGCCUACCAAGGCAACGAUCUCUAGCUGGUCUGAGAGGACGAUCAGCCACACUGGGACUGAGACACGGCCCAGACUCCUACGGGAGGCAGCAGUGGGGAAUAUUGGACAAUGGGCGAAAGCCUGAUCCAGCAAUGCCGCGUGUGUGAAGAAGGCCUGAGGGUUGUAAAGCACUUUCAAUCGUGAAGAAAAGUUAGCAGGCUAAUAACCCUGUGACCUUGACGUUAACGAUACAAGAAGCACCGGCUAACUCCGUGCCAGCAGCC
rnacentral:rRNA from 1 species